AUUGAACGCUGGCGGCAGGCCUAACACAUGCAAGUCGGGCGGAUGAAGGGAGCUUGCUCCUGGAUUCAGCGGCGGACGGGUGAGUAAUGCCUAGGAAUCUGCCUGGUAGUGGGGGAUAACGUCCGGAAACGGGCGCUAAUACCGCAUACGUCCUGAGGGAGAAAGUGGGGGAUCUUCGGACCUCACGCUAUCAGAUGAGCCUAGGUCGGAUUAGCUAGUUGGUGGGGUAAAGGCCUACCAAGGCGACGAUCCGUAACUGGUCUGAGAGGAUGAUCAGUCACACUGGAACUGAGAAACGGUCCAGACUCCUACGGGAGGCAGCAGUGGGGAAUAUUGGACAAUGGGCGAAAGCCUGAUCCAGCCAUGCCGCGUGUGUGAAGAAGGUCUUCGGAUUGUAAAGCACUUUAAGUUGGGAGGAAGGGCAGUAAGUUAAUACCUUGCUGUUUUGACGUUACCAACAGAAUAAGCACCGGCUAACUUCGUG
rnacentral:rRNA from 1 species